AGUUAUCAUCUGCUGAGCAUUUAAGGAUACCUGGAUGUACACAUCUGUGAGUCUUCCCUACAACCUAGAAGGGGAAUUCAUAUCUUAUUUGACCAGGCCAACAGGAGCCACAUCCGAACGACAUGUAGGAAUUUCCAUGCAUCGCCCCAAGAUCCUGGGCUUUGAACUUGAUGCCAUAAUUGGAUGAGACUUUGAUGUGGUCUCCCUUGGUGAAGUGGUUCUUCCUCAACACCGCAGUCGGCUGACUUUCCGUUGGCUGCCAGAGUUACCUGAAAAUAAUUAUCAUCAACAUCCAGCUUACGGGCCACGAACCAGAAAACCACCCGGGCAGUUAUGUGGAGGAGCACCAGACCCAGGUUCUACUACAUGACUUAAAUAUUAAUUUUAAACCUUAUUGCUUCCAAAUUGAUUUUGAGCUGGUCUUGGUUUUCAACAUUGAUUUGCGAACAUUCAAAAAAAUACAUAUUUGC